ACAGUCUAAGUGUCCCUGAGUUUCCAAUGACAGAUCCUCGGGAGGUAGGGCUCAGGCUUACAAUUAUAACCUUUCUGCCUCUCAGUAUACCCCAGACUUUCCCAGUAUUCUACAGCAUUCACAACCUCAGUCUUUACCGCGAAAGGGGGCUCCGAAACAUCAUCGGAGGAAGAGACGCAGGGGCAACAGGAAGUGGCAGCGGCUGCAGAAUAGCACCAGUCUCCAAUGAUGGGCACGGGAAAAAGAAGUCUAAGUAAGAAAAUCAUCCGGCCAAGAAGAGCAAAAGAAGUAAGCCUUCUGAUGCCGAGGACGAUUCAGAAAAGCUUCCUGCUGCCCACCACCUGCUGGGUUCCGAGCAACCAGAAUUACUGGAUGGAGCAUAUGGGUCCCUAUGUGGAAAAAGGAAAAUUGGAAAAUUUGAAGCUAAGCGAGUCCCUCACCAUGAGGUUUGCUGGGAGUACAACACGGGUGUGUGCCAGGGGCCAAGUUGUAAGUAUGCGCAUGAAUGUGAGAAGUGCCUAGGUAACCACCCAGCGUCUUCAUGUUUUAAAGGUAAACAGCCUUUCCGGGCAGCAGGGGGGCAUUUCCAC